UUCUUCCAAAAGCACCUAACAACAAAUUUAGCAAUUUUUAAAAUUUAUUUAGCAACUUUUAGCAAAUUUUGAUAAGUGACUCAGACAAUAAAAACACACACAUUUUCCAUCCAAAUUACACAAAAAGAAAACCAAAGAUGCCAGUACACACAUCACGUGAAUUGAGUUAGCUGCUAUUUGCACUUCUUCAAUUUAAUAAUAAUAAUAACUGAAAAAUUGUUCAUUUAUGAUACACUUUGUUAGUAGCUUGUACUUGCGAUGGUUGAUCAGUUAAGAAAAAUGGAAAAGAUAGGCUACUAGUAAUUUUCCAGGAUAUUAUCCAUCAUCCAUUGUAACCCUGUAACCCGAAAACACAAUGCGUAAUUUAAAAUGCAGGUAAAAAACCAAUACGGAAAGUAUUUCGUAUUAACAUAGUAGAUUAGCCCUAUUUUUCCAGACUUUUCUUGGAGUGUAGCUAGCAUGCUAACUACUAAUACACUGCUUAAAGCAUAAUUGUUGAGAAUGUGUUGUAUUACUAGUUUACUAGCUGUACAGUGUAACUCUUCAGCAGCGAAAUAUGAUGCCUAACCAGCAGCUUACACACGCUAUAGCUUUUUAGAUAGAUAUAGAUAGAAAUAAAUAUUCUCAGCUUGCAAAAAUAUGUUAUUGCCAGCAACUGCUACUGCAAGCUCGGUUGUGCAUCAGACGUGGUUGAAAAGGUCAUAAAAAUGAAUGGGCAAAAAAUGUAGAUCCAGAUAAAAAGAAACGUUUUACAGGAUCAGUUCGCGGAAAAAGAGGCGGACUUCCGUUUGUCCAGUGUGUGCGCGAUUCAAACAGAAAGCGCAAGAGCACGUCAUUUUCGCGGUAAUAUCUCACAGCCUGCAAUCUGUAACAGAGCUCUGCAGAAGAACAUACUCUUCAGUCGGAUCAUGAAAAUGCUUGUAAAAACAUGGCAACGUACGUUUUUAAACCUUUUUUGCACUACAUUGGACCUCCUGUUAGGCGAUGGUUUGCAGGGGAGUGAGAGGGGAAAACUUUAAAAGCUAUUGGAUUUUUAUGGUGGCAUCUAAGAAUAGCCUGGAGAUUCCUGUGCUGCUGUGUGCAUGAUAACUCUGACGUUCAGCUCUCAGUGGAAGAAACAGCGCCGUCUUCUGGUGUGAGCUCUGUACGACCAUGGAGUUAUGGUGAAGGUGGAGGUAUUAUCAGGACAGUUUAGACAGAACACUUGGAUCAAGAUUAAGAAACAGCUUUAAGUUUAGCAUUUAUAAGAUGGAGGAUUGGCCCCCUUGAAAUCAUUGUUGCCCCAGCCACAUCUGUUGCAAAUUCCCGAGAGGAACUGGUGUCGAGGUGGCGCUCUCGCUCCAUGUAUGAAGAAGGAGUUCUGGACCUACGUUUGUUUUGAUCCGGUCCAUACAAAGCAGCAUUAGAGCAUAAUCUUAUCUAUUUAAUGGUAAUAGGGAGCCCUGCCACGUGUUGCCGCUAAGAUUUAAUUUGACCCACAGUGUUGAGAUUUCUGGUGUCAAAUGAAUUCAGUCAAUCACUCAUUCAUUCCUCAUUCAUCAUAAGCAAGAAUAUCAGGGCUGAUAUACAGCACACAGCUGAGAGUGUGAAAUACAGUAUUUUUAAGACCAGUAAGAAAGAAUAUUUCUUCUUUAAAAUAAAAUAGUUUCAAAAGAAGUCAAAGCAUCAAGCUUCCAAAUUAUGCAUAGGCUGAAUAUAAAUAAAUACUUUAUUGGAGUAGUUUCUUACUUUGUCAAAGCAUAGUAUCUUACUUUUUGCGCCACUACAUAUCAUAAAUGUCGUUGUUCACUCCUCGUGUAUUUGAAGACAUGACCGUGAUGUCUGAUAGAAUCAUUCUUUUAAGAUGAUUCUUUUGAUGAACCUGUUGAAUUGGUUCACAGAUCACUCUGAACAAUUCAUUUGUGAAGUGGAGAGAUCCAGUUGCUGUUCUGGACAGAUUUGGUGCUCCUGCUGCCCCCCAUCUUGAGUUUGUGGAGGAUUUGACUGAAGGUGCGAAAAGUUACUAAUGUCAAAUGUUAUUGUUUUUUUUUGUUUUUUUUAAAGGUGUCAUGCACUGCCUUUUUUAUUUGUACCAUUCUCUGAGAUCCCCUUUUAAGGUUAACAAGAUUUUUACAUCAAAAAACAUGAUUUAGAAGUAAUAGGCUAUUUUCUGAUUCUGUUUCUCUGUUUUUAACCCCCCUCGUCAGAGUGCUUUGUUUGAAUAGGCAUGGAGGAUUGUAGACUGAUAGUAAACGCCCACUGCUAUGAUUGGCUGACAGUGGUGUAUGUUUGACAGCGUACAUCCUUCACAGAUGGACACUGCUGUGAUAUAGGUUAAAAACACAUAAAUACUCGGUACAUAUCAAUCCGUGUAUCAUUCGUUCCAAAAAAAGAGAAUUCAGCUUAAAUUUUAAUUUUUGUUCAGGUAUAGAAAAAUGAAUAACAGCUUGAAUAUUCGAUUUCUACACAUGGGCAGGAAUUAAACUCCCCUUUCUGCUGAUUGGUCAGCCGAAGAUCAAAUCGGUUCUUCUGCAGUUUCCAUGCAGCAGAAUAAUAGUCCUCUGCUGCUGCAGUUGUACGGAUUCUUAACGCAUUUAUUGCAACUGCAUUUAAUCUUUUUUCAUCAAACAAACAGACUAAUGAAUAGCUCGACACAACUCGUACCGGGGCAGAGCCUAGACAGGGCUUUCUUCUGUGUAGAGAUAAAUUCUAUUCUUUGCAUCAGCUGGGCAUGGCAGGGUAUGAUAUGACGACUGUCAUAGCCUACCCUGCUGCCCAGUAAGUCUGUUUGUUUAAUUAAGUAAUUAAUUAUUUUGUUUCAAAAUAAAUAUUUUACACACUAAAGGAAAGAAUAAUAAAUUGGCUUGGGUAUAUAUAUAUAUAACGUUCACGUAAGAACUGUCAUUCUGACUGACAACGGAGAACAACAGAUAUUAAAUAGCUUACUCUUAGAGUUUUAUAAUGUGGUCUUGUGUUUUAUUAAAAUUGAUUAUAAUCGAUAACUUUAAAGGAUAUGCGCUUGCACACAGGACAUUUUUGUGUGUUUUGAAAAAAAGUAAUAAGCCUUUAGAACAACAUUAAGGUGUCACACAGUUCCAAUAAAUUGCGAUGGGUUAAAUAAACUCAAUAAGCAGACAGACGCGACUACAGUCAAGUGCAGACCAGUAUUGAAGUGCACAGGAAAUAAGCAGCAGUCAUAAAGCAGUUUAAAUUAAUAUUGAGUACUGAUUGAUGUUCACUUGGAUUUUUCCCCAUAGAGGGGAAAUAACUUAAUAUUCUGUCAUUUAUAGUCGUAUGGUAAAAUGUAUGUUUUUAUUUGUGUAGCGUUAUGUUCAAAAGAACUACAAAUUCCUUUGAAAAAUAAAGAGAACGACAGAAUACGUUGCUUUAGCGCGUCUUGGUCUCCAUCUCCAUUUUGUCCGGCGAAUGCCACAAACAUGAACCACAGCGAAUACAAAAGGCUUCAUUUCGAUUAUUUGACGUUAAAUGCAUCAUAUAAGUCACUUUGGAAUAAAUCACAGUAUGUAUCAUGAUAAAAAAAAGCGACUUCAGCAGUCUGUAAAAUGCAGUAGGCUAUAGCAAAUCAUUUCACGGACCCCCCCUACUGCUGGUACACGGAAGAAAGCCCUGUGCCUCGGUAUGAGCUGUGUUGAGCUAUUCAUAAAGCCCUCAAAGUGAUGAAAAAGAAAAAUGCAAUAAAUCCUUUGUCCUUUAUAGAAGAAUAUGAUUUACAGGAAAAAACAUAGCCCCCUUUUAUAUUUACUUUUUUUUUUUUUUUUUAAAUGUUUUUAUAUAUAUAUAUAUAUAUAUAUAUAUAUAUAU